AAUUGGUAGAGGUGGAAGGGACACUUGGAAAUGACUCUGGAAGGGGUAGGCUCAGUUUUAUUCUGGGAUGAAUGCUGCUUACUUCCACCCCCUUGCAGUGAGUGGCUCUGUCUUAUAUGUCCACAACAUUUCACAGUUUCUAAAAUGCACUUUUGACUCUCACAAAAAUUUUGUCAAAUAGG